rnacentral:rRNA from 1 species
AAUGAACGUUGGCGGCGUGGAUUAGGCAUGCAAGUCGUGCGAGAAUCGUAGCAAUACGAGGACAGCGGCGAAAGGGAGAGGAACACGUGGAUACCUACCCUCGGGAUCGGGAUAGCUGCGGGAAACUGCAGGUAAUACCGAAUAACAUCUUCGGAUCAAAGGUGUGAUACCGCCCGGGGACGGGUCCGCGUCCUAUUAGCUAGUUGGUGGGGUAACGGCCUACCAAGGCAAAGAUGGGUACGGGGUGUGAGAGCAUGCCCCCGCUCACUGGGACUGAGAUACUGCCCAGACACCUACGGGUGGCUGCAGUCGAGAAUCUUCGGCAAUGGGCGCAAGCCUGACCGAGCGACGCCGCGUACGGGAUGAAGGCCUUCGGGUUGUAAACCGUUGUCAGUGGGGAGGAAAUGUCGGUGGGUUCUCCCAUCGAUUUGACCUAUCCGCAGAGGAAGGACGGGCUAAGUUCGUGCCAGCCGCCGCGGUAAUAC